rnacentral:rRNA from 1 species
GACGAACGCUGGCGGCGUGCCUAAUACAUGCAAGUCGCACGAGUCUGCCUUGAAGAUCGGAGUGCUUGCACCCUGUGAAACAAGAUACAGGCUAGCGGCGGACGGGUGAGUAACACGUGGGUAACCGGCCAAAGAGAUCGAGAUCACACCUGGAAACCGAUGCUAAUACCGGAUAACAACAGGUGAUGCCUAUCGACUGUUUAAAAGAUGGUUCUGCUAUCACUCUUGGAUGGACCUGCGGUGCAUUAGCUAGGUGGUAGGGUAACGGCCUACCACGGCGAUGAUGCAUAGGCGAGUUGAGAGACUGAUCGGCCACAUUGGGAGUGAGACACGGCCCAAACUCCUACGGUAGGCAGCAGUAGGGAAUCUUCCACAAUGGACGCAAGGCUGAUGGAGCAACGCGGCGUGAGUGAAGAAGGGUUUCGGCUCGGAAAGCUCUGUUGUUGGUGAAGAAGGACAGGGGUAGUAACUGACCUUUGUUUGACGGUAAUCAAUGAGAAAGUCACGGCUAACUACGUG